rnacentral:rRNA from 1 species
UGGGGAAUCUUGCACAAUGGGGGCAACCCUGAUGCAGCGACGCCGCGUGAGCGAUGAAGCCCUUCGGGGCGUAAAGCUCUUUCGACCGGAACGAUAAUGACGGUACCGGGAGAAGAAGCUGCGGCUAACUACGUGCCAGCAGCCGCGGUAAUACGUAGGCAGCAAGCGUUGUUCGGAGUUACUGGGCGUAAAGAGUGCGUAGGCGGUGUUCUAAGUUCGGUGUGAAAUCUCCCGGCUGAACUGGGAGGGUGCGCCGAAGACUGGGAAGCUGGAGUGUGGGAAAGGCAGGCGGAAGUCCUGGUGUAGCGGUGAAAUGCGUAGAUAUCAGGAGGAACACCGGCGGUGUAGACGGCUUGCUAGACCAUAACUGACGCUGAGGCACGAAAGCGUGGGUAGCAAACA